rnacentral:lncRNA from 1 species
GGGGCAGGGCAGGGCAGGGCAGGGCAGGGCUCGCCGCGCCGCCCGGCGCCUAGCGAGACCGCUGCAAACGAGCGGGGAAAACACGCAGCCCGCCCGCCGUUCCUCUCUGCCGCUCCGUCCUGCCCUGCCGCAGGGCUCCCCGUCUUCCCCGGCCUCGGCUCCCUCAGCCAACCGUAGGUGUACAGUUGGAAGCAGAGACGAAGCUGCACUGGGGGCGGAGGACCUGAAGCUCGUCAUCAUAGAAAUCUAUUUCUCCCAUCUGCUGAAGAUGCAUUGCCAAGGCCCAACCAAAAUGCUGCACCUUGUAGCCCAAGAAAGACUCACAGCUUCCUGUGAAUGGAAGAAGUAGGUUUGUAACAGUGUUUCAUAUAUUUAAUAACAAUCACACAUAGAAGCACACAGCUGCCUUGCCAGCUCUCUCAGCUUUAUUU